rnacentral:rRNA from 1 species
CAAUAGCGUAUAUUAAAGUUGUUGCAGUUAAAAAGCUCGUAGUUGGAUUUCGGGGCAGCCUGGCUGGUCCGCCGCAAGGCGAGUACUGGUCAGCCGCCCUUCCUCUCGAAAGCCCCGACUGCUCUUUAUUGCAGUGGUCGGGUAGUUCGGGACGUUUACUUUGAAAAAAUUAGAGUGUUCAAGGCAGGCCUACGCCUGAAUACAUUAGCAUGGAAUAAUGGGAGAGGACCCCGGUCCUAUUUUGUUGGUUUCCAGGACCGAAGUAAUGAUUAAGAGGGACAGUUGGGGGCAUUCGUAUUUAAUUGUCAGAGGUGAAAUUCUCGGAUUUAUGAAAGACGAACAACUGCGAAAGCAUUUGCCAAGGAUGUUUUCAUUAA